UACGCACGCGCGCGCGCGCGCGCGCACGGACGGGGAGGCUGGAUGUUACGGUGCGGUAUCGCGAGAGCGGCGUGCCGCGACCGCAGCGCUGGAUGGCGCUGGUAGGGGCUGGAUGCGCCCACGGCUCCCCCUCGCUCCCGUUAAAUCACACGGUGGGACACGCGAUAGGACGGAGACCGGCGGCGACGGCACCGGGGCAGCGUGAAGCGGCUCAGGACUCCACACAUGGGAGCAGUGGUGCCGUCUAAUCAACAGUUUUCUGGCGGAGAUGCUCUGGACUCCCAUGUCCUUAAACAUAAGCUGCAGCGUUUAAGGAGCUGAAGGAAGGAAAACAAAGCCAAGCGCCGGCUUUGGCCAGUGGUCUGAAGUGGAACCAGGGCUGGAGACGGGCGGCGCCGCAUGGGUCCCAGAACCUCAUCCAAGGCGCCGCGCAUCUCCGUGACCUCCCAUCGCGGCCUCUCUCCUCCGCUUCCUCCUUUUGCUUUCCUCCCCUUCUCCCUCUUUGUGUCUCAUGGGAGUGACAUAGAGGCGGUCGCCCGGUCUGCCGCCCCGCCUCCUCCCCGCCGCGCCGUGGAAACGGGGGCUUCCAGGCAGUGAUGUCGUGGAAGAGGAACUACUUUGCGUCGGGUGGCGGAGCAGCAGCAGCAGCAGCAGCAGCAGCAGCAGCAGCAGCGGCAGCGGCAGCAGCGGCAGCGGGAGCGGGCGGGGGGCCGGGGCUGGUGACCCCAAGAACCAUGAACUCCAUUGCGCCCAGCAAAGGCCUGAGCAACGAGCCGGGUCAGAACAGUUGCUUCCUCAACAGCGCCCUGCAGGUUCUGUGGCACCUUGACAUCUUUCGCAGGAGUUUUCGACAGCUGACCACGCACAAGUGCAUGGAGGACUCGUGCAUCUUCUGUGCUUUGAAGAGUAUCUUUGCACAGUUUCAGUACAGCAGUGAGCGUGUGCUGCCUUCAGAUGCACUGCGGAGCGCCCUGGCCAAGACUUUCCAAGACGAGCAGCGCUUUCAGCUGGGCAUCAUGGACGACGCUGCAGAGUGCUUUGAGAACCUCCUGAUGCGCAUCCACUUCCACAUCAGCGCCGAGAGCAGGGAGGACAUCUGCACGGCCAAGCACUGCAUACCGCACCAGAAGUUCGCCAUGACGCUCUUUGAGCAGUGUGUGUGCAACAGCUGCGGAGCCACAUCGGACCCCCUGCCCUUCAUUCAGAUGGUUCAUUACAUCUCCACCACGUCCCUGUGCAACCAGGCGGUGAGGAUGCUGGAGUGCAGGGAGAAGGCCACGCCGGACAUGUUCGGGGAGCUGCUCCGCAACGCCAGCAACAUGGGAGACCUGCGCAACUGCCCAAGUAACUGUGGGGAGGUGUUGCGCAUCCGCCGCGUGCUGAUGAACUCGCCGGAGAUCGUGUCCAUCGGGCUGGUGUGGGAUUCGGACCACUCGGACCUGGCGGAGGACGUCAUACACAGCCUGGGGACCUGUCUGCGUCUGGGAGACUUGUUCUACCGUGUGACAGAGGAGAGGGCUCGCCAGGCGGAGCUCUACUUGGUGGGCAUGGUGUGCUACUACGGCAAGCACUACUCCACCUUCUUCUUCCAGACCAAGAUACGCAAGUGGAUGUACUUCGACGACGCCCACGUCAAAGAGAUCGGCCCUAAGUGGAAGGACGUAGUGUCUCGCUGUAUCAAAGGCCACUACCAGCCCCUGCUGCUGCUCUACGCUGACCCCCGUGGGACGCCUGUGAUACUGCAGGAGAGCCCCAACCCCUGUUCCAGCUCCAACCCGCAGCUGGAGCUCCAGCACUGCAGCAGCCGCGCCGGCUACGACAGCGAGGACUCCGGUCGCGAGCCAUCCAUCUCCAGCGACACGCGCACCGACUCGUCCACGGACAGCUCCAGCCACCGCGCCGCGCGCAGCCGGCCGCUCCACCAGUCCACGGGCAGCCACCUGUCCAGCGAGUCCCAGACCACCGUCGUGUGUAGCUGCGACACCGGCACGCCGCCGCACGCCGCCGACUCUGGAGGGUCAGCGGUGGAGGGGCCCCUCCGCCCUCCCUCUCCUCCCCUGCAGGAGUACAAGGAAACGGCCGUCUUCCUCCUCUCCUCCCGCCGGCCGCUCACCUCCUCCUCCUCCUCCUCUCGUCCACUCUCCUCCUCCUCCUCCUCGGGGGUUGGGGGCUGUGAGGGAGGGGUCGGGGGGCCCCACUGGGAGGAUGAGAGCACCAGCAGUGAGAGCAAGUCCAGCUCCUCUGGAGGCCAUUACAGACCAACCUGGAGGCCCAGGAGGGAGGCCCUGAACAUUGACAGCAUCUUCACCAGGCAGAGAGGCUACAACACUCUCCCUGGUCCCUCUCUCGCCCCGGAGCCCCAGGUCUCUCUCACCUCGGUGGGACUCGCCCCACAGACAAAGCCAGGGCUGCAGGAGCCGGUGGGGAAGGACGCGGAGGCGGGCUUGGGGCUGGUCGGGCCGCCCCGGUCUCUGGGCGGCGGCCGGACCAUGGGUCCCCCUGCCCCUCCACCUCUGCGAGGGGUGGAGCACCAGCCGCGUCUGAUUCAGAGGAUGGAGAGUGGCUACGAGAGCAGCGAGAGGAACAGCAGCAGCCCUGACAGGGAGGUGGGGCAACAGAAGCGGGCGCUGAUGUCAGGACCUUCAUGGCGUUCGGUGCCCAAGUCCAAGAGCAGCGGCGCCAUCCUGCAGGAGCUGCCGUCGUCCAGUUGGACCGGCGGCGGCGGCGCCAACACAGCGUUGGGGCGCAGCGAGCUGGACGAGCUGCAGGAGGAGGUGGUGAGGAGAGCGCGUCAGCAGGAGCAGCAGAAGCGAAGAGAGGCCGAGCGGGAGGUGGCCAUGGGAUUUAACCCCAAGCCCAGCAAAUACAUGGACCUGGACCAGCUUCAGCACCAGGCUGUGCUCAGACCCCUGCAUGAGGCUAACGCUCAUAGCGGAUUGGCUGUAGCUGCGUGCAUGAGGAGCGCUGGGGGCCCAGGCAAAUGCAGGCAGGAACAGGAAACGGAGCGGGAGGCAGGAGGCGCCCGGCCACAGGGGCAUCACAGUGAACAGCCUGGCCCGGUCCAAGUACUGCUGACACCCGAUCCGGAGGAGGAAGGGGACCCGGCGACGCCCAACCAGGACGCGGCUCCGGGCCCGGACCCGCCUCCUCCACCCUAUCGCCCCGCUCCGCCUCGACCCACGCUCACCCUCGACAUCGCUCACCCCUGCGCCCCCUCCGGCCGCGGCGAGCCGGAGACGGGGAGACGGGGGGAGGGGGGCGAGGACGGCAGGGAGGGCACGGGCGUGAGGCUGUGCGAGCUGCUGCAGGCAGGGGGGGUGAGCGUCAGACCCCUGGGGAAGCACUUAGCCAUCUCGCUGCCCUCGCUCCCUCUGCGUCUCUGGGACACUCACGCCGCACACUCCCCAGACCUCGAACCCCCGCGCACACAGCCGCCGCCCCCCCCUCCCCCUCCGCCUCCGCCUCCUCCCCCGCCUCGUCCUCUGGAGGCUUCCGGGCAAAGGAAUGCUCCGGCGCCCGUGUGGCAGCCGCCCCCUCCGCCUCCCCAGGCUCAGCGCUGGCACGAGGCCCACGCUGACGGCACCACGCGCCACUGGUCGUCCUGGAGCCUGGACCGGCCCGACGCGGUGGUGACGCCGUACGACACGCCCCCGGACCGCUGCGUCCCCAUCGGGCCGCCGCGCUGCAGCCACGGCUGCAGCCACGGCUGCCAGGCGCCUUCGGGCCACUGUGGCUCCCGGCGCCAUGGCCGCGAGGAGGCGGAGCUGUCCGAGCUGGACUCCCUUUACCAGGCCAGUCUGCAGGCCGGGAGGACAGGCUGCAGCCCAUCAGAGAGGCUCAUAUCCAGGGUCGGAGGUCAGGGCCGCUCUAAGACGCCAAACGCAGACAUGGAGAGGAGUGUGUACGGGGCAGACUGCACCAGCACCCCCACCUACCUCAGCAAGCAAGCAGCGGCGCGGGAGGCGCGUUUCGGGGAGAAGCCCGCCGACGGGGAGGACCUGAGGCCCAUCGGACGCAGCCUGAGCGGCACAGUGGUGACCUCGCGCCGCAGCCGCCUCACCGCCACCCGCAGCUUCGUGAAGCAGGCUGAUGUCAGUGCCUCUCCUUGCUUACUUCCUCUCUUCUGAGUCCCUGUUGCUAUUCCACCACUAUCAUCUCCCCCAUCCUCCUCAUCACCAACACCUACUCAUCACCACCUCCCUCCACUGCUUCACAGGAGCUGUCGGGCGGCGCCGGGAGCUUCUGGCUGUGUCUGACGGGGGUCAAAGUGUCCUCGGACCAGAGUCCUGCUCUGCUUCACUAACUAACGUCCCGCUGGGGACCAGCAGGGGGUCCUCGAUGGCCUCAGGAGGAUCCAACUCGCCUCCAACCCCCCCCCCCCCCACCCCAAAUCUACACGCACACACAAACACAUGCACGCACACAUGCACAUCUGCACUGACGUAGAGCCUGCCUCAGCCUGCAGCACCCUGCUUCGCCCCUCUUUGCCUUCUUCUCCCCCUGCUUCCCCCUCUUUUGAUCUACUAUUCUGUCUAUGCAGUAACUCUGACCCCCCCUUACGUCCCGGGACUGUGUCUUGCCCCCCCCUGGGUUCCUGGGGGGUUCCCCGUGCAGUCAGCCUGGCGAGCAUGCCGCUUUGGCUGGUGCUGUCGGUUCUGUUGUCGGGUCCGACGGGGAAACCGAGCCCUCGUGGACUCUCCCUCCGGCUCAGGGGGGGCUCUUACCAAGUAGCCACGCCUCUUCUUUCUUCACGGGCAUUUCCUGUUGGACGCACACGUAGCCGAACUGGGUCUGAUUCUAACGGACAGCCAUAUUUUUCCCCCUUUCAGUUUUUGGGUCCGUUUUGUUUUGUUUUUUUCUCGUUCUGUGUUUGCGCACAGUGACCCGAACUCUCUAAUAACUAAAGUCAUGUACAGAAAACUAUGUAUGAAACCUGUAUGUUAAUUAAUAAGACCUUAUGGAAUGUUGAUAAUGAUAAUUAACACAUACUGAUAAACUUAAAGUGGUACUUCCUCAUGUUGCAUUUCAAUUAGGAGUGGAGUGCACUUCACAAGUGUCUAGCUGGAGUUUCCGCCCCCAAACUGCUCGCUGGCUUAAUGACAGCUCUCCCGUUUCUACCGGGAGUUUAAACAAGAACAGCGCUUCCUCUUUUGUUUUUUCUCUCUCUCAGCUUUUCUCCCUUAUCGCCGUCUUUGAUUCCUGCCGUUUCUUUUCCCCCCCUCUUCCAAACAGGAAACAGUAGCACCGGACACAGGGCAGCAGGGAUGGGGCACGUCGGGAAGGAAUCCCAGAAUGUAGGUUAGGAAACCCUCCUCUUAGGCUUUAUCGGUGACUGGAGACGUGAUUCAAGUGCGCUUUGCGGGGGUCACGCGGCAUAAGUGCACUUCACGAAGGCCGCGUGACUGGGAACGAGCUGAGGCGGCGGUUGUUUUACUUAAAAGGUCUCAGGUGAAUUCACACUUUACGGUUUCUCCCUCGAUUCUGAGACCUCAUGUGGAAAACGAAAAAAAAAAAGCUCAUCAGCCUGUGACUUGUCUAAUAUGAAUAUGCUUUAUAUGAUGUAUAUGUAUUAGAGGUAUAUUUUCAAGCAGUGAGCUACCUUCUUCAGAGAUGUCAGCCAUUCCUCAGUUGUAUGAACAGUGAUGAACAGUUGCCUCACUCCCCCUUUUAACAAGUAACGUUCUGCUACGUGUCGAGUACAUUUAUUAUAAUGCUUUAUUCUAAUAAACCACAUAUAAAGUAACACAGGCAUUUUUAAAACACGUGGCCAAUGUAAAACUCCGUAAGGAUUUACUGAUGUUGGUUGAUUGUUGUAACUAAACCAAAGGUUGGCACUUAACUCAGAGGGCGUAUUUAACAUGGCUGUUUUUUUUCAUAGAUUCUAAUUUUGUUGUUUGUUUAUUUGUUGUUGUUGUUGGUGGUGGUGGUGGGUUUUUUUUUGGGGGGGGGGGGGGGUGUCUGGAUGUGGGAGAAUGUAGCCAAUUGUAGCGCAUGAGUCCGCUAUGCAAAUCAACCUUCCCUCAUGAUCCUGUGUCGGAGACGUCAGGAGGCAGACGCACCCGCCCGCAGGUCGCUCCCGUGGAGGAGGACGUGUGGUCCAUGCUGCACGAGAACUGUGUUCUAUGUUCGGCCGAUGGAUAUACGAUAGCAGCGAGGAUGAGGAAGGCGAGAGAGAGAGAGAGAGAGAGAGAGAGAGAGAGAGAGAGAGAGAGAGAGAGAGAGAGCGAAUGAAUGUGAACUCAGUGGAAGCGUGUGCUUGUGAGUGGCUCGGGGUCCGUGGGUGUGCGCGCGCUGAGCGUGUCAGUUGUGGGGUGGCGUUGCCUGGGGAAAGAGGGAACCUGUAUUUUUGCAAUAAAGUUAUUACUAAUGCACUCCCAGCGGGGGGCGUAACCACUGUAA